rnacentral:rRNA from 1 species
GAUUUCUGGUUCGGCGCACUUGGCCCGUCUCGGUUUACGGGAUUGCGUGCCGGUGUGCGCCAUCCAUCCUUCGGGAAAUACAUCACUACCCUUCACUGGGUCGGUGAUGCUAUCCCGAUCUUUUACUUUGAAAAAAUUAGAGUGUUUCAAGCAGGCUUUUGCUAUGAAUACAUUAGCAUGGAAUAAUAAUUUAGGACUUUUGUUCUAUUUUGUUGGUUUCUAGAAUGGAAGUAAUGAUUGAUAGGGAUAGUUGGGGGUGCUAGUAUUCAGUGGCCAGAGGUGAAAUUCUCGGAUUCACUGAAGACUAACUUAUGCGAAAGCAUU